AAGCAACACACACACAACCUUUCAGCUCUAAUUUCACUUCCUCAGCGCGCUAGGUAAAAAAGCACAAACACGUUUUCAGGGUCGUUAACCAACGUGUUCCAGUGGAAGACAUCCAGCGACCCCCGACGUCACGACUAAGCGUGUUUGGGUUAUAUUGAGCACAGACCUCAUGGGGGAUCACUGAAUGCGGGCUGUUAUCUUCUCUAGAGGUGCUGCAACUACCGUCUGGUUGGAUGACAGCUAAGAUGUGCUUCCUCCAGGAUCUUUUCAGACUGUUCUGUUCAGUAUAAGCUCAGGCUGGUGUUUCUCUUGAAAGGGGUGAGAGGAAGGAUAUUCCAGAAAGCAGGGCCAAUUACGCCCUGUCAGACUCCCAGAUACGGACGGCUAUGACACAGCCAGGGCUUAAAUUCACCAUCUCCUGAUAACAAGGCAAGAGCUUUGCCACUGUGCUACAAUGCUACGAUAAGAAGAUCAUUUCAAGAGGUGCUUGCCCUUCAUAUUAGGAUUGUUGAUUAUGUGUGUAUGUGGGUUUAGUGCAAUAAAAACAAAGAAAAAUCCAGAAGAAUCUCAUAAAAACAGAAAAGAAAUCUGUGUAAUAGUUACAAAAUGAAAUAAUGAAAUUACAGAAAC